rnacentral:lncRNA from 1 species
CACUCAAAUGUGAUGUAGUAUAAAGUUAACUUUAUAGCUAUUUUCUCAUUAGUGUUUUCUUUGAGGCAAAGAGGUGAAACAUUAUUCUCUCUUUUUCUACAAGGAGGCCGGCCACAUAGUGAAGAAAUAGCUAGCAAUCUUUUCUUCUCUAAGUCAUCCAUUUCAUCUUCACACCUCAUCCUUGGUGUGGAGACAUAGAGACACCAAACCUUUGGUGUUUUUGGAGAUCCUUUCCUUACAUCCUCAAGGGGCAAAGGAGCACAAAAGGGAAGGAAAUCACAAGGAAGAUCCAAGGAACUAAGAGGUGACUUGAAGGCCCUCCACUUGGAUGAAUCCCUUGUGUAAACAAGGAUGAGCUUCAAGGGUAAUAAAUCUCUAAUUCUUACCUUCUCUUUAAUGUUGUUAAAGAGUCUUAUGGUUCACCAUUCACUAGGCUUUGAAAGUCAUGAGUUUUAGAAUUGUUUUGAAUGCAUGCCUACUUUAAUGUGUGAAUAGUUUGCAUAUGUGUUCAAAUAUUCUCACAUGUUCUUAGCUAGGACAAAAUUUUUCCUUCAAACAAUGGUUAGCCCCCCCCACACUUAAAUCAAACAUUGUCCUCAAUGUUUCAAGCAUAAACUCACACAAAAACAAGCAAACAAACAAACAACGAAUAAACAUGACAAGUAUGGCAAAGUAAAAACCAGACAGAGUAGAGUUUAAGAACGCAAAUCUGGUUUUGGAGAUAGAUGAUCUUUUUGUCUUUCCAUAGCUUUGAUCUCGAACUGGUUUGGAAUUCUGAGCGAGGAAUAUGAGAGUUCCUUGGUUUCAAUUCAGACUCCUUCUGCUGGGUUGAUUUAAUUGUGCAGUCUGCAUUCUUCCCUGCUUGUUUCUUCUGCACGGCAGGCAGGCACGAGGUAGAGGUAUUGGUCUGUUUCUUUCUUCAAUCUUUCCAAGUGCCCACCUCUUGCUUUCUUUCUCCUUGUCCCUAGCUGAGGA